AUCACAUAGCUAACACCACUUUUCCCCAUUUUUCAUUUCCCCCUCUUUUCAUUGCCUCGAUUUCAGCCAUCGCCGCCCAUCGCCCAUCGUUCAUUGCCCGCCUUCCGUAGCCCAGUUCCCGCCGUCGCCGUCUCCGGCGCAGUCCACCGUCCAAUCGAGGGAUUCAGUUCCACUGCUUUGUUGAGUCAAUUUGCUGAUUUCGGGAUCGACUUUCCAUUCUUGAUUCCUCAAGUAGAUUAAUGUGAAAUUUCUAUGAGAUUGUUAUUCAGUUCCUAGCCAUUUAAGAUACUAUGCCUGGUGGCUGCAAAUUAGCAUUGGUAGAUUUAGUCACGUUUAAUGUGUGAACUUAGCUUGUUUGGAUAGUGUCGUACUACUCUAUCGAACAGUUAAGAGAAAGUGUUUCUGGCUCCCGGAACAUGAAGCUCAUGUCGCCCAAAACUUCGAGAAGAAAGCAGGGCAGCUGCUAAAGGGUGCAUUAGGAAGGGUUCGUGAAGACCAAGCGAAGCCUGAUUGGAUCCGGCCGGAGGCCUAUAACAAGCUAUUGUAGUACUAGGCAUCUGAUGAAUUUAAGAAACAAAGUGAAACAGGGAAGAAGGCCAGAAAUUCUACGAAGGGUGGCUCCCUACACACUAGUGGGGCUAAGAGCCAAGCGGCUGUGAGGAAGGAGCUGGAACUCAAAGAAAAGAGGAUAUUGCCUCAAGAUGAGGCAUUUAGAAUCACUCACGUGAAGAAGAAGAAAAACAGUCAAGAACCAGACAAAUGGGUUGAGGAACGGGCUAAGCAGUCCUAGAUUCAAUUUCAACAAUCACGGGCUGAGUUAUGCAACAGUCUACCACCUGGCACAGAGCCUACAGAUGAACAAUUGAACGAAUUGUGGAUUGCGACUGUUGGUGGCCCCACUAGGUUUGGCACAACUUAUGGAAUGGCAAAUAGAGCAUUUCGUAAAUUCCAGUCGCCCCUGGAAGGCAUAUGUUCUUCCAAUGAUGCGGGUCAUUGGAUAGAGCGAGUGUUAUGGCCAUGGAGCAGAAGAUUCUUUAGCUAUCUAUGCAGUUACAGGCCUCGGAGGCUAGGGAUAGGCGGAGGGACGAGCAGCUACAGGCUGCAGAGGAUGGGGAAAGACGGGGGGACGAGCAAUUUACGGGUAUGAAAGCUCAAUUAGACUUAUUACUUUCUUCGAGGGGAAUUCCCCCUUGUCCUGAUGACGCUCGUAGCUCCAAGCGUCGAUCUCCCCAUUCUCAAUCUAGGGCACGACAUCGAGAGGUUAGUCAGGAACUGGGACUUGUAGAUGAGCCAAGUAGUGGUGAUGAUGAUGGGGAGCACGUGUCAAACACAGAACAACAUGGUUGAAUUUUAUGUAUCUUACACACUUAUAAAUUUUUUGGUGGAUUUGUAAAAAUGUGAAAGUGUUUGGUGGAUGUUUAGUUUGAUGUUGUAGACUAACUUAGUGUAGACUAGUAUAAGUAUAAUGUUUUGUGGAUGUUUGUAAAGGUUGAAGUAGUUUAAUGUUUUUUGUGAAUGUUGAAUUACAUUUUGAUUUAACUUUGAAGUAGUUUCGAGUUGAAUUUGAUGUAGUGCGGGUUGUAGCAUGUUAUUA